GCUGGGAGUGGUGGCACAUUCUGAGGUCCCAGCUACUUGGAGGCUGAGGGAAGAGGAUGGUUUGAGCCCAGGAGUGCUGGGCUAUAGUGCACUGUACCCACUGGUAUCUGCACUAAGUUUGGCAUCACUGUGGUGAUCUCCUGGGACCAAGGACCAACAGGUUGUCUGGAAAGCAGUGAAGUAGUUCAGUUUGGAAAUGGAGCAGGUUGAAACUCCCAUGAUGAUCAAUAGUGGGAUCACAUCUGUGAAUAGCCACUGUACCCCAACAUAGAAAGUCUUCCUCUCUU
rnacentral:SRP_RNA from 1 species